rnacentral:tRNA from 1 species
CCCCUGGUGGUUCAGUGGUUAAGAAUCUGCCUUCCAAUGCAGGGGACACAGGUUCGAUUCCUGGUCAGGGAA